rnacentral:rRNA from 1 species
GUCUAUAUGAAGUUACAUAAAGUCUAGCCUGCCCAUUGAAUGUAAUUUAAAAGGCCGCAGUAAUUUGACUGUGCAAAGGUAGCAUAAUAAUUAGUUUUUUAAUUGAAGGCUUGUAUGAAUGGUUGGACAAAGAAAAAUCUGUCUUUUAUAUUAUAAUUGAAUUUUACAUUUAAGUGAAAAGGCUUAAAUAAAUUUAAGGGACGAUAAGACCCUAUAAAUCUUUACAUAGAAUAAAAUUUUUAUAAGAAAUAAAAUUUAAUAAUGUUACGUUGGGGCAACGAAAAUAUAUAAAUUAACUGUUUUUUAAAAAAUACAUUAAUAUUUGAAUGAUUUUACGAUCCUUUAAAAAGAUUAAAAGUUAAAGUUACUUUAGGGAUAACAGCGUUAUUUUUUUUAAAAGUUCAUAUUGAAAAAAAAGUUUGCGACCUCGAUGUUGAAUUAAAAUUUCUUUGUGGUGCAGAAGCUAUGAAAGAAAGUCUGUUCGACUUUUAAAAUUUU